UGCAUCGGCCGGGAAUUGAACCCGGGCCACCCGCGUGGCAGGCGAGCAUUCUACCACUGAACCACCGAUGC
rnacentral:tRNA from 1 species